AUUGAACGCUGGCGGCAUGCCUUACACAUGCAAGUCGGACGGCAGCGCGGGGGCAACCCUGGCGGCGAGUGGCGAACGGGUGAGUAAGACAUCGGAACGUGUCCUGGAGUGGGGGAUAGCCCGGCGAAAGCCGGAUUAAUACCGCAUACGAUCUGAGGAUGAAAGCGGGGGACCGGAAGGCCUCGCGCUCAAGGAGCGGCCGAUGGCGGAUUAGCUAGUUGGUGGGGUAAAGGCCCACCAAGGCGACGAUCCGUAGCUGGUCUGAGAGGA
rnacentral:rRNA from 1 species